CCGAGAAUAUUCCUCCCUAUCUGUUCUAGAUAUUCGCACUCCUUCAUUUACUAUUGCUUUUCUCUAUUUGGUCGCCCUGAUCAGCAAAGUUAGCUGAAGGGGAGUAAUACUUCGAGCACUUGUCAAAUAGGUAUAUCAAGAAUUCCUAUUUAAUUAUCUUCAGUCUAGGCAAUAAUCCUAUUUUUCCACUUUCUUUUCCCCUUUGCAUUGAG
ensembl:ncRNA K11G12.8 ncRNA